rnacentral:rRNA from 1 species
UACGGGGGGAGCAAGCGUUGUUCGGAUUUACUGGGCGUAAGGGCGCGUAGGCGGUCACGACAAGUCAGUUGUGAAAUCUCCGGGCUUAACUCGGAACGGUCAACUGAUACUGUCGGACUAGAGUGCAGAAGGGGCAACUGGAAUUCUCGGUGUAGCGGUGAAAUGCGUAGAUAUCGAGAGGAACACCUGCGGCGAAGGCGGGUUGCUGGGCUGACACUGACGCUGAGGCGCGAAAGCUAGGGGAGCGAACGGG